AGCAGCCGCGGUAAUUCCAGCUCCAAUAGCGUAUAUUAAAGUUGUUGCAGUUAAAAAGCUCGUAGUUGAAUUUCGGGAUUGACACAUCGGUCGUGCCUUAAGGGGUAUGAACUGGUGUAGUCAAUUUCUCACCUUCUGGAGAACCGCGAUGCCCUUAAUUGGGUGUCGCGGGGAACCAGGACCUUUACUUUGGAAAAAUUAGAGUGUUUAAAGCAGGCAUUUUGCUUGAAUACAUUAGCAUGGAAUAAUAAAAUAGGACGGCAUGAUUCUAUUUUGUUGGUUUCUAGGAUCACCGUAAUGAUUAAUAGGGAUAGUUGGGGGCAUUAGUAUUCAAUUGUCAGAGGUGAAAUUCUUGGAUUUAUUGAAGACUAACUACUGCGAAAGCAUUUGCCAAGGAUGUUUUCAUUAAUCAAGAACGAAAGUUAGGGGAUCGAAGACGAUCAGAUACCGUCGUAGUCUUAACCAUAAACUAUGCCGACUAGGAAUCAGACGAUGUUAAUUUU
rnacentral:rRNA from 1 species